CAGUUAUCGUUUAUUUGAUAGUACCUUACUUACUUGGAUAACCGUGGUAAUUCUAGAGCUAAUACAUCGCUGAAAACCCCAACUUCGGGAGGGGUGUAUUUAUUAGAUAAAAAACCAACGCCCUUCGGGGCUUUUUGGUGAUUCAUGAUAACUUUACGGAUCGCAUGGCCUUGCGCCGGCGACGGUUCAUUCAAAUUUCUGCCCUAUCAACUUUCGAUGGUAAGGUAUUGGCUUACCAUGGUUUCAACGGGUAACGGGGAAUUAGGGUUCGAUUCCGGAGAGGGAGCCUGAGAAACGGCUACCACAUCCAAGGAAGGCAGCAGGCGCGCAAAUUACCCAAUCCCGACACGGGGAGGUAGUGACAAUAAAUACUGAUACAGGGCUCUUUUGGGUCUUGUAAUUGGAAUGAGUACAAUUUAAACCUCUUAACGAGGAACAAUUGGAGGGCAAGUCUGGUGCCAGCAGCCGCGGUAAUUCCAGCUCCAAUAGCGUAUAUUAAAGUUGUUGCAGUUAAAAAGCUCGUAGUUGAACCUUGGGUCUGGCUGGCAGGUCCGCCUCACCGCGUGUACUUGUCCGGCCGGGCCUUCCUUCUGGAGAACCUCAUGCCCUUCACUGGGCGUGUUGGGGACCAGGACUUUUACUUUGAAAAAAUUAGAGUGUUCAAAGCAGGCCUUUGCUCGAAUACGUUAGCAUGGAAUAAUAGAAUAGGACGUGCGGUCCUAUUUUGUUGGUUUCUAGGACCGCCGUAAUGAUUAAUAGGGACAGUCGGGGGCAUCAGUAUUCAAUUGUCAGAGGUGAAAUUCUUGGAUUUAUUGAAGACUAACUACUGCGAAAGCAUUUGCCAAGGAUGUUUUCAUUAAUCAGUGAACGAAAGUUAGGGGAUCGAAGACGAUCAGAUACCGUCGUAGUCUUAACCGUAAACUAUGCCGACUAGGGAUCGGGCGAUGUUCUUUUUCUGACUCGCUCGGC
rnacentral:rRNA from 1 species